AUGAAGAGGGAGGGGAAAUGAGAGAAACACAAAUUGGUCAUGGGAGGAGUUUUAUCAAAUUAAAAUCAUUCAUUCAUUUUGGGAGAUGAAAUAUACAUUUCAUCAAUCCCCUAAAUCCAAUGAUUUUAACUUAACAAAAGUCAAAUCAACCUUGACUAAGGCCUUUAACACAUAGUCAAACAUCACAAGUCAAUAAAAAUGGCUCAACAUAAUUUCUAUACAAUUAAUUAAUAUAAAAA
rnacentral:lncRNA from 1 species